rnacentral:lncRNA from 1 species
CUGGCUUACCUGGGGGCUAUUGUGAGGUCUGAGUUUAAGACAUUGAAUGAUCCCCUGGGGUGAAAUGGACACACAUUACCAGGCUCCUGGUGUGUUGGAGUCGAAGAGAAUGGAUAGAGAAUGUGGCUGGGAGGCAAUCUGACCAUGUCACUGCCACUGAAAAACCCACAAGACUGCUCAGUUUUCACAAGAGGAAGACUCAGUCAACUAAAAUCUCUCUCACUGGCUUUCACUAGUCUCUUCAGCCUUAGCUCCUCAUGCUUGAUCAACGCCACACUAUCCAUCAUUCUCAAAACAAGCGUCUGAGCUAUUGUUCACAGUCCCCUCAUGUGUUGAAUAACUCUCUUAUCCUUGGCAACUUGCUUGUCUCUCAGGACCCAGCUUAAUUGUUGCUUCCUCUGAAUGUCUCCUUGCAGAAUAAAUCACCCUUUGUCCAUGUUCUCAUAGCACUCUCUGCCUCAUGCUAUGGUGCUUUCUCACAUAAUGACUUGCUUGGAAACUUUGCCAAGUGUCACCAUAAU